CGCUGGCGGCGUGCCUAAUACAUGCAAGUCGAACGGUCUUUCUAUGGAAGCUUGCUUCCACUGAGAAGAUAGUGGCGAACGGGUGAGUAACACGUGGGUAACCUGCCCAUAAGAGGGGGAUAACAUCCGGAAACGGGUGCUAAUACCGCAUAGUUUUCUUGAUCGCAUGAUUGAGAAAGGAAAGACGGCCUUUGUGCUGUCGCUUACGGAUGGACCCGCGGCGUAUUAGUUAGUUGGUGAGGUAACGGCUCACCAAGACGAUGAUACGUAGCCGACCUGAGAGGGUGAUCGGCCACAUUGGGACUGAGACACGGCCCAAACUCCUACGGGAGGCAGCAGUAGGGAAUCUUCCGCAAUGGACGAAAGUCUGACGGAGCAACGCCGCGUGAGUGAAGAAAGGUUUUCGGAUCGUAAAACUCUGUUGUCAGAGAAGAACAAGUUGGAGAGUAACUGCUCCAGCCUUGACGGUAUCUGACCAGAAAGCCACGGCUAACUACGUGCCAGCCGCUGC
rnacentral:rRNA from 1 species